rnacentral:rRNA from 1 species
GUGGGGAAUAUUGGACAAUGGGCGAAAGCCUGAUCCAGCCAUGCCGCGUGUGUGAAGAAGGUCUUCGGAUUGUAAAGCACUUUAAGUUGGGAGGAAGGGCAGUAAGUUAAUACCUUGCUGUUUUGACGUUACCAACAGAAUAAGCACCGGCUAACUUCGUGCCAGCAGCCGCGGUAAUACGAAGGGUGCAAGCGUUAAUCGGAAUUACUUGGCGUAAAGCGCGCGUAGGUGGUUCAGCAAGUUGGAGGUGAAAUCCCCGGGCUCAACCUGGGAACUGCCUCCAAAGCUACUGAGCUAGAGUACGGUAGAGGGUAGUGGAAUUUCCUGUGUAGCGGUGAAAUGCGUAGAUAUCGGAAGGAACACCAGGGGCGAAGGCGACUACCUGGACUGAUACUGACACUGAGGUGCGAAAGCGUGGGGAGCAAACAGGAUUAGAAACCCGUGUAGUCC